rnacentral:misc_RNA from 1 species
UUGAUUCUGUUUUGUUUUGUCGGACUGGACGGUUCAAAAAACGGGGUGUUAACGGUCCUCUGACGGGGGGGCACGGGGCAACGGAGGGCGGGCGCUGGGCCCUCCUCCUUUGGUCCGCACUCGACCCCGCCGAAGCAACUGGGACUUAAACAAAAUGUGCGAGGGUUCGGGGAGGGGCGGGCACCAGGUCUCCCUGGCGGUCCUCCCUCCCCUGGCGUCUCGGUAAUGAUCCUUCCGCAGGUUCACCUACGGAAA